AUCAACUUUCGAUGGUAGGAUAGAGGCCUACCAUNGNGNUAANGGGUAACGGGGUGUUAGGGCACGACACCGGAGAGGGAGCCUGAGAAACGGCUACCACAUCCAAGGAUGGCAGCAGGCGCGCAAAUUACCCAAUCCCGACACGGGGAGGUAGUGACAAUAAAUAACAAUACGGGGUUCUUUCGGAUCUCGUAAUUGGAAUGAGUACAAUUUAAAUCUCUUAACGAGGAACAAUUGGAGGGCAAGUCUGGUGCCAGCAGCCGCGGUAAUUCCAGCUCCAAUAGCGUAUAUUAAAGUUGUUGCAGUUAAAAAGCUCGUAGUUGAAUUUCGGGACCAAUAUGUCGGUCGUGCUUCGGUACGUACUUGCAUUAUUGGUUUCUCCCUUCUGAAGAACCAUGAUGUCAUUAAUUUGGUGUCUUGGGGAAUCAGGACUGUUACUUUGAAAAAAUUAGAGUGUUUAAAGCAGGCUCACGCUUGAAUACAUUAGCAUGGAAUAAUGAAAUAGGACGUUUGAUUCUAUUUUGUUGGUUUCUAGGAUCGACGUAAUGAUUAAUAGGGAUAGUUGGGGGCAUUAGUAUUCAAUUGUCAGAGGUGAAAUUCUUGGAUUUAUUGAAGACUAACUACUGCGAAAGCAUUUGCCAAGGAUGUUUUCAUUAAUCAAGAACGAAAGUUAGGGGAUCGAAGACGAUCAGAUACCGUCGUAGUCUUAACCAUAAACUAUGCCGACUAGGGAUCGGAUGAUGUUAAUUUUUUAAUGACUCAUUCGGCGCCUUACGGGAAACCAAAGUGUUUGGGUUC
rnacentral:rRNA from 1 species